GGUCAAGUGAAGAAGCGCAUACGGUGGAUGCCUUGGCAGUCAGAGGCGAUGAAAGACGUGAUAGCCUGCGAUAAGCUUCGGUGAGGUGGCAAAUGACCUGUGACCCGGAGAUCUCUGAAUGGGGGAACCCACCUAGCAUAAGCUAGGUAUCUUAACCUGAAUCCAUAGGGUUAAGAGGCGAACCAGGGGAACUGAAACAUCUAAGUACCCUGAGGAAAAGAAAUCAACCGAGAUUCCCUUAGUAGUGGCGAGCGAACGGGGACCAGCCCUUAAGUUGAUUUGAGAGUAGCGGAACGCUCUGGAAAGUGCGGCCAUAGUGGGUGAUAGCCCUGUACGCGAAACGCUCUUAUCAAUGAAAUCGAGUAGGACGGGGCACGAGAAACCCUGUCUGAAUAUGGGGGGACCAUCCUCCAAGGCUAAAUACUCCUGACUGACCGAUAGUGAACCAGUACCGUGAGGGAAAGGCGAAAAGAACCCCGGAGAGGGGAGUGAAAUAGAACCUGAAACCGUAUGCGUACAAGCAGUGGGAGCCCACUUUGUUGGGUGACUGCGUACCUUUUGUAUAAUGGGUCAGCGACUUAUUUUCAGUGGCGAGCUUAACCGAAUAGGGGAGGCGUAGCGAAAGCGAGUCUUAAUAGGGCGUCUAGUCGCUGGGAAUAGACCCGAAACCGGGCGAUCUAUCCAUGAGCAGGUUGAAGGUUAGGUAACACUGACUGGAGGACCGAACCCACUUCCGUUGAAAAGGCAGGGGAUGACUUGUGGAUCGGAGUGAAAGGCUAAUCAAGCUCGGAGAUAGCUGGUUCUCCUCGAAAGCUAUUUAGGUAGCGCCUCAUGUAUCACUCUGGGGGGUAGAGCACUGUUUCGGCUAGGGGGUCAUCCCGACUUACCAAACCGAUGCAAACUCCGAAUACCCAGAAGUGCCGAGCAUGGGAGACACACGGCGGGUGCUAACGUCCGUCGUGAAAAGGGAAACAACCCAGACCGUCAGCUAAGGUCCCAAAGUCCUGGUUAAGUGGUAAACGAUGUGGGAAGGCUUAGACAGCUAGGAGGUUGGCUUAGAAGCAGCCACCCUUUAAAGAAAGCGUAAUAGCUCACUAGUCGAGUCGGCCUGCGCGGAAGAUGUAACGGGGCUCAAACCAGGCACCGAAGCUACGGGUAUCACCUUUGGUGAUGCGGUAGAGGAGCGUUCUGUAAGCCUGUGAAGGUGAGUUGAGAAGCUUGCUGGAGGUAUCAGAAGUGCGAAUGCUGACAUGAGUAACGACAAUGCGAGUGAAAAACUCGCACGCCGAAAGACCAAGGGUUCCUGCGCAACGUUAAUCGACGCAGGGUGAGUCGGUCCCUAAGGCGAGGCUGAAAGGCGUAGUCGAUGGGAAACGGGUUAAUAUUCCCGUACUUCUAGUUACUGCGAUGGGGGGACGGAGAAGGCUAGGCCAGCUUGGCGUUGGUUGUCCAAGUUUAAGGUGGUAGGCUGAUCGUUUAGGUAAAUCCGGACGGUCUAGGCCGAGAGCUGAUGACGAUCCUUCUUUUAGAAGGAGAAGUGGUUGAUGCCAUGCUUCCAGGAAAAGCCUCUAAGCUUCAGGUAACUAGGAACCGUACCCCAAACCGACACAGGUGGUCGGGUAGAGAAUACCAAGGCGCUUGAGAGAACUCGGGUGAAGGAACUAGGCAAAAUGGCACCGUAACUUCGGGAGAAGGUGCGCCGGUGAGGGUGAAGGGUUUACCCCGUAAGCUCAUGCCGGUCGAAGAUACCAGGCCGCUGCGACUGUUUAUUAAAAACACAGCACUCUGCAAACACGAAAGUGGACGUAUAGGGUGUGACGCCUGCCCGGUGCCGGAAGGUUAAUUGAUGGGGUUAGCGCAAGCGAAGCUCUUGAUCGAAGCCCCGGUAAACGGCGGCCGUAACUAUAACGGUCCUAAGGUAGCGAAAUUCCUUGUCGGGUAAGUUCCGACCUGCACGAAUGG
rnacentral:rRNA from 1 species